rnacentral:rRNA from 1 species
GUAGGGUGCGAGCGUUGUCCGGAAUUAUUGGGCGUAAAGGGCUCGUAGGCGGUUUUUCACGUCGGGAGUGAAAACUCAGGGCUUAACCCUGAGCCUGCUUCCGAUACGGGCAGACUAGAGGUAUGCAGGGGAGAAUGGAAUUCCUGGUGUAGCGGUGAAAUGCGCAGAUAUCAGGAGGAACACCGGUGGCGAAGGCGGUUCUCUGGGCAUUACCUGACGCUGAGGAGCGAAAGUGUGGGGAGCGAACAGG